AAGUGACAAAGAUUUGAAACUGGACUUAUAUGACUCCAAAAAAUGUUUUCUUCGCCUUGGCCUGGGUCUUGGCUAUGUAAAUUAAGUAACAAAAACAGUGUAAUCUGUUUACAAGUCUGAAUUCAGUGGAGUACAAGGCUGGGAAGGCCUUACUUGUUUUUCAUUCACCAUCUGAAACACUGUCUGCCAAUUUACUCCAUUCUUGUUCUCUAUCAACAUUUUAAGAGGAUUCCACUGCUGUUUAGGCCUUUCCAGUCAGGACAAAGCCAAGCCUGUGUAAGUCUCAGAUUCCAAUCUCAUUUCUUUCCCCUUCUCCAGCUCAGACCCAACAACCUAAGCCAGGUGACCAGCAGUAAAGAAGAGCAUGGUGUUCUCAUUUAAUCUUCUUUCCCUACCUCUUUCACAGACGUUUCAGUCAGGGAGCAGAGAAAUGGUGAAGGUCAAGUGAUCAUUAACUGCUAACGCUGGAAUCGUCUUUGACAGUUGCUGUGUCUCUAGGUAACCCUGAUCCACUAUCGAUGCUGGCAGUAAGGCCAGCAUCCACCAGUAGGCUGGAUUUUGGGAAAUGAAGGACAAAGGGGAAGCAAAGUUAAGGUUUGGAUGACAGAGAAGAUGGCAUUAUGUAAAUGGGCAAGCUGGAAGAAAGCUGGUUCAGAAGAGGCAUAAUCCAUGGUGGAAGCUUCUACAUGAUAACUUAAAUUGGAAGGACAGUUAGCUUUUGCUCUGUGGAACAGGUGUAUGCCAGCUGUUGGUUAUAAAAUGAACCCAAUUGUUUCUUUUAACUGCUAUUAUAAAAUCAAGGAUGUAUCCCCCCAAGGAAAAAAGAACAUUCUCGGUAGACUCAAUUAAAAACGUUUGGUGAAAAUGUAGUUGAAAUGAUGGCCAGCUUCCUAGUCUCUGUGGGAUUGUAAUCCCAGUUAGUGGUUCACUUCUCUGCUGUGAUUUUUUGACUCCUGGUCUCCCCUAGGCUGUCAAUCCCAAUCCUGCUCCCUUUGGGAUAGAGUGUAGUGUGGUGUCUGUUAUUGGAAAAAUGACUGCACAAUCCUAAAGCACCCAGAGUUUUCUGGCUGGCCUAUAGAUGUCACAUUUGCACUCAGGUUUUACAUGCUUACUCCACUGCCAUUUCUUACCUUUGGAACAUCUCUAAAACUAAAACGACCCUAUUGGGAGCACCCAUGAGGGUAAUUGUGACCCGUAUCCCUUUAUCUUUACAUGAACAAAACUCCUCCAAGAAAAUGAUCUAUAGACAUGGCAUCUUAUAUUUCAUCAGACUCUUAGUCGUAUAGAUCUGACAUUCUCUGUGUCUGUAUAACAUUUAUUAGUCUGUCUAUUAUGAGAGAGCUCUCUUGAACUAGUUAUAAGAAAACCCAAUUUGGCAAAUGGUAAGUUAUAUCCCUACCUCUGCCACCUGAGCGAUUUGAUCUCGGGCACCACAGGAAGUUGCAGAGGCUUGGAAGGAGAGCAUGAACAGAAGACACCAGGAGAUCGAAGAACUUAGGAACACCUUGGGAAAGAGAAGAGGCAUAAGGGGGGAGGAAAGGGCUACUGGCAAAGAUGAAAUUACUUUAGAAAUAUUUCUGCACUGGUUUCUAUGCGGGAAACCUAUAAUACCAAUCCCAUUGAAAAGACUGGGUCAAUAGAGUUACCUCCUGAACUCUCAAUUUAUAGCACCAACAUUUUCUCUAACUUUGUUACAGCUGAAGGCAGGAGUCAUGUUGAUACAAAACACUAUUACAGCUCUUCUUGAAAAGAAGAAAAAGAUUUUCACAAAUGCUUCCCUUCUCAUUUAUUGUCACUACCAUUUUUCCCCAGACUACUCUCAUUCUCGGCCCACGUAGGAAAUCAGAAGAUAAUUUAAAAUUAAAUGAUGAUGGCUCAGAGCUUAAAGCACUUAAAAAGAGAGAAGGAAAAAAACGCAUCACAUCUUGACAGGGCUGGGAAUGAGGGCUGGAAGAUUGCCAAGGAAGCCCAGAGGAGCUGUUGACAAGUGGGCCUGUGGUACUUUGUGUGACCAGAGAGGACCUGUAAGAUAUUCUCCUUGCCCUGGGAUGGUGUUUGAAGUCAUGAAAACCUAGGAGAGAGUUGAAAAGAAUGGAAAGCAGCCAGAAAAUGAUUUAAGAGUAUUUAUUUCAUGGAGUUUUUAUGAGAGUGAAAUAAAGCUCAGAUCUUAAGUGUAGAUGUGAUAGCAGCCAUCGUGGAGAAAUGAUCAUGCGACUGAACCUUUCUGCUGUGAAGAACUGUAGAACUGGACAAAAUGUAUGAAUAAACUGUUUUCACACGUUGGACAACAGAUAGCACAGGGCUGUGAUGCUUGAGAUAAGGAAAACACCAUAUUUCACUACAGCUUUCUGCCUGGGACCACCAUCCAAACUUCAGCUGAAGAGUCUCCACUACUAGCAUGGGGCUCAAACUCACAACCCUGAGAUCAAGAGCUCCACAGGCGCACCUUGCUGUUCUUUCUGAUGACAUUUGAAGUUCAGGGCAGCCAAAGCCAUUUUAGGAUGGUGAGAGACGUGUCGCCAGCACAUCUGAAACCUGUCUCUGGUGGACAGGGAACUAUAUGAUUCACACUUGAAGUUCUCUGGUGUUCGAAAGGGAUGAAACCACUUUGACUUCAGGAGGACCGGAGGUGCUAGUUGCUGCUUGGCAUUUUGACUGUGUUUUUCGAGACGAAUAUGUAUGUAUAACUGCCUGGGGAGAAAGCACAUACAGCAGAACCUGAAGCGAAUAACACAGGGUGAUAUAUCACCCCUUACCAUUAGUCAUAUCAUAUGCAAUGUAAACAGAGUGGAGCAGUUUGCUACUUUCCUGGGUUCCAUUAUGUGUAUGUGUUUAUUUAAUCAGGACUAAAUGAUAUUACGUGAAGUUCCCCUUGCCCUCCUGAGGAAUCCAGAUUCAACACUUUCAGCGCUGUUCAGUGCUGGAGAGCGAGGAAAGUGUAACCAUAGUGAUGGAAUGGAAAUGAUUUUCUUUGUUCAGAGGCUUCAAUAUCCAACAGACAUUACAGUUUUCAAGGUCAAAAAUAUAUUAGGAUGAGAUAAAAAUUAAAGAAAAAUGUGCUGGCUUAGCUACAAAAGCUAAUUUAGUUUAUGCAUUAUAAAUUAUGUUAAAAUGACUAAAAUGAGAUUUCUCAGCAAGAACUAAAUGUGUGGUUUCACAAAACUAAUUUCCAAAGAUGAACAUGAUUACAGAAUUUAGCUUUAAAAGCUUUUCAGGCCAUCAGAAAAAACAGCAAAGCUAUCAAUUAUCAGACUUUAGUGGUGCCUCUGUCAGAAAUAUAAUGGUAUUUUUAGCAUUCUGCUCAGCGUUUACUAAAUUAAGAAUGUCUACAAACAAAUCAAUUAAUUGGGACAUUAUUUAAUUAAGUAAAACAUGUGAUCUGCCAAAGAACCUUAAGCAGACGAUUAUAACAAACAUCCCAGUAGCCUUCUUCUAUUGAGGGAGAUAGCAGGCCAGCAGUAAAAAGAUGGAAACUACAGGAAAUGAAAUGUUGAUCAAACAAGCAAACACAGCCUCAUGCUUUUCUGAUUCAUACUGCAUACUUAUGUAAUUUUAAAAAGUGCUUGUUUUGAAAAUCUGUGAUUUCCUGGGAGAAGGUCAGUGCUAUCUGUCAGGCAUUCCAGUGCUGUUAGGUGGAUGUGUGACAUUUGUUAGGUGGAUUUUUUUUUUUUUGUAACAAUGCAUAUAUAAACACAAAAGAAUCUGUAUUCUCAUGCAUGGCAUACUUAAGUCCCUGGGUGCCAGGAAGUUACUGGGUUCCUGUUUUUUGCUUUCCAUAAACAGUUCAGAUCCAGUGAAAGUUUAUUUUGGAUUCCACUAUAAACCAUCCCAUUCUGCUUUCCACCAAACCAUCCCAUUCUGCCCUUCAACAGUCCUUGUGAGUUAGGUAUCAAGACCCCUAGUUUUAAAAGGGAGACUGAGGUUCAAGGAAGCUGAGUACUUUCCCUCUACUCCUAGACCUGGUAGUUUCAGAGCUAGGGUUAGAUCCAAAGCACGUGAGACCAAGUCCCAAACACUUCCCAUUAUUGCAGUGUGGACUAGCCUGGGUUUAAAGGCGGUUGCACAAUACAAUACCUUGGUGGCCAACAGAGUCCUUGAAAUAACAUUGUCUCAAGAGAGAGUUAAGCAGUCAUUUGGCCAGGGAAGUAGAGAGUUGAGUCGAGGACUACUGCUUGGACAUGUCAAAAUAUCUAAUAAUGGUCCAAUCCUGGGGGCCACAUGGAAAAAAGAAGACUGCCUAUUCACCUACACACAACCCAGAGUAGCGUUCUAUCCUUAUUUGGAGUAAUUGCAAGUACAGGCCAAGAGGAAGUUAAAUGAAGUGAGAUGGAGAGCAGGGACGUGAUAAUGGGAGCAGGUAUUUAGUAGCAAUGUUGUGACCUGUUAGAAACUUUAAAAUCGAAUUCCUCCCUUUUUGUUAGUGAACAAAAUGUAUUCUUGCACACAUCAGAAUAAUGAGCUUGUGUAUUGGGGAAUAGCUCAUGAGCUCUAUCAAGCAUCCUUGAAAUAAUUUUCAGAAGUCACUUGAUCUGAGCCGUUAUUAUUGGUCCUCCCCAGGUGACUGUCACCAUUCUGGCCAGUUGGUCUUCUAGAGCCCUUUGUUCUUUUUCUGUUCCCUUUCCUCCUCUCAGAUCCAGGUGUGUCCCUGCUACGAUUAUGCAUCUGAGCUUUCUUAUCCUGCUGGGCUUAUCUUUCUGAACAUUUCUCAAACAAGACAUGAAUGCAAGUCUGCAAAUCAUGGACACCUGAUAAUCUGCAAAUGAUCAAGAAACCAUGAGAACAUGAAAGUACUUUCAAAUUCUUGUCUCCCUAAAUAUUAAUUUUUAAGUCAAAGCUUUGUUAGUUAUUAUUCUCCACAUUUUUAUUACUAAGUAAUAGAUUCAACUUUUAAUGAAAUGCCAUGUGGGAAAUUUGUAAUUUUUCCACUCAAUUCUAAAAAUCAAAGAACUUACUGUGUUCAUCAUCAAACUAGAGAGAAAAAUGUCUUAUUACUUGACCCAUAUCUGAUGACCAAGGUGGGUGCUGGCUGUGCUAGCUGGAGCUGCAGGAAGGGACACUUUAUUUAUUUAAUAAGUAAAAGUUAAUUUAUUAUCCCUUGGCUCAGGAUAGACAGUGUGUGAGCAAAAUGCUUUGCUAUAAUUAGGGUAAUUUUGUAUGCAAUGGGGAGAAGCAACCCCUUAAAUAUCAGUGUGGGAUUCAAUAGCAAAAUAUGUCUAGACAUAUGAGGCCUUCCACACUGAAAGAAGUUAUUGAAAAAUGAUUCAUUUUUACAUCCUCCACCUGCUGCCUGAUUCUUCAUAAUAUUGAUUUGUGAGAGAAGGAACUUUCCCAAAUGAUAGUACAGAGAUGGGUUGCUAAAAAGAUACAUAAUUUUAAACACUCAGCCUUAUUGAGCAUCAACUAUGUGUUAGAGGCUGUUUAGAAAAAUCAGAGUAACUGUCUUUAUCUUAAUUCCAUUUUCAUAAAAAUUUUCCUUUGUCAUUCAUAUUACUCAGUGUUUAGAAUCACUUAAACAUGGGUGAUAUUUGAUCUUUUCAGAGCAGGAAAUUAUGACUUAGCAAUAUGCUUUUCAUGUAAGGAUAGUUAUUUAUUAUUAUAAAAUUAAAGUUGUUUUUCUCUGUUAUCUCACUAAUCUGGAUACUUUAGAGUCAGUGUGUUAGACAUUCUCCUGCAUCCAUUGUUUUGUUACCUGUAAUUACAAGAAUAGGUCAAACAGUGCCGAACCAAAUACUUUAUUUUUCUCACACAUCGAGGAGUCACAAUGUAGGUGACUGCUCUUCUUUGAGCAGCUUGAUGUCAGGGGCAGCGUCUUUGUGAUUUUCUUUACCUUUUCCUGAGAGUCUCAAUAUGGUUGCUGCUGCUCCAGACAUCAUGCAUAUAUUCGUGUAGGAUGUAGAAGGGCAGGUAUGGUGCUAGAGGUUUACACUUCUUUUAUCAUACAGCAGAGCUUUCCAGAUACUCCAGCAAACUUCAACCUGUGAAUCACUUGGCUAAAACCCAGGUAUCUGGCCAUUCCUGGUUUCAAGGAAUCAGAGACAGUGAGUGAGGUGCUUGGGAAUGGGUCUCAGGUUAUGUAUUCAGCAGUGCCUGACACCUCUUGCAACCACAUUUAUAUUUUAAUGACUAGGAUUGAUGCUGUGGCUGAGUGAAAUAAGCAAUAACUUGAGGCUUUAUUGUAUAGGAAAAGAAAAUGGACUUAAAAUCAUACCAUCUGGGUUUAAAUCUCAACUCUGUAGUUCCCGUGUAAUGAUCCUAAUCAGGCUACUUACUUCUACAAGCAUCAAUUUCCUCGUCUCUAAAGGGAGAUAAGAAUUCCUCUCUGGAGGUGUGCUGAAAAUCAAAUGAAUAAGAUGUCUUAUUAGAGUAUCAAGUACAGAUUUGAAUAGAUAGAAAUUCACAAGUUCAUUUGCUCAUUAUCUCUUUCAUUCAUAUAUUCAGUUGGCCAAAAUAAACUUUGCUUAGGAGGAGCAGUCCGGAAGAGGUCACCACUGGUCAGGUUUGCAUCUGUGAGGCCAAAGAUGCAAUAGUUGCUCAUUUCAGAGGCUUGUUCGUGAGGAGGUAUGUGUGUGCACACGUGUGUGUGUGUGUAUGCAUGCCUGUGCAUGUGUGUGUGUGUGUGUGUGUGUGGUUGCUCCAGCCUGUAGAUGGCAAUGAGGCAGGGAAGGACAGAGGAAGGAAAUGAACUUGUACUGACCACCUCCUACAUGCCUCUCUUAACCUCACAUUGUUCUUACCUGAUGAAGCAGACAUUUCUUUUCUCCGAUGUUAAAACAGGCUACUGAGCUACAAGCAGAAUGGCUUUGACCUCUCAUAUUUCUAAGCUGUACAUAUUACACAGUUUUUCCAUCUUAUUCUGUCUUUUAUUUCCCUGGGAACCCAUCAUAAGUUCCUGGGGGCUGGGCAGAAACACAAAGACAGUUUUGUUAAAUACUGCUCAGGGUCACACACCAAAUCUUUUCUUAUUUUCCAUCUCCGACUGAUAUUCCACAAAUAGGUUGGUACCUAAUUAUCUCUCUUCUGAGAAGAUAUUUCUUCCCUAUCUUGAAUUCUUCCAUCCAGUUCCUAUCAGGGAGAAAAGAUAGCCAUUACUUAAGACUGAUUUGGAAUCUGAGUUUCAGGAACUAUUGUCUGCUUCUUCCAGUGUUGGUUCUUCUCUGGAGUUCACUGCACCAUCUUGGCUGCUCUGCCCAGAUGUAGCCGACAUGGCAUAUCCACAUUUACUAUGGGUUUAUUCCCUAGACCUGUGAUCUGGAAGCCUUGCCACAUACAGGUUAAAUAACACUGUCAUGGGCAGUAAUUUCUAAAUAUGAACAUAUGAGCGUAAAUAUGUCUUCUGGGCAAGGAAAUGCAAUCUCUUUUGUCCUUCGCCCUCACCUCUAUCCAUCUCUUUUUCCUCCAUUCUUGAUUGUCUCUUCUUUCCUUCUCCCUCUCUUUCUGCUUCAGCCUCUGCCUCUCUUCCAUAUCUAAAUAAUCUGCCGAAGAGGGGCACUCUGAGAGAUGACUAGUAAUCUGUAUGUAACCACUGAUGCAUUACAGAUUGAGUAAUGAUCCCCCCUGAAGGAUGGUACAUGGAAUCAAACCAGUCAUUGAAUUGUUGCCAGAGAUGCUCUGAUCAGCUUCUGUAAAAGAUCAAAAUAGGCAUGAUGAUUAGAGCUAAAUACUAAUUCCUGACUUUCCUCUAGAGGGAGCCGGUGGUCAGGCUAGAGAAAACCGACAGUGAGAUUGGUCAAAAACUCGUGAGAAAGCUCUAAAUGUAGGCAGCAUCACAAGACUGGGUGGAACUGAGCAACUAAUACUAAACCUGUGAAAUUAAAAGACAUCAGAAAUUCCAAGGGAAAUACCUGAAACAACUGCUGUCAACCUCAUCUAAAUGCAAUGUGCCCAUACUAGUGCUAACGUUUUGGUUUCAGUCCUGGAAACAUUCAAAAAUGUUUAUGACCUUUCAGCCACUCAUUUAUCUAUCCACUUCCCAUUAAAAUUUGCUGAGCUUACAUCAUAUACUUAAUGUUGUGCCAGGUAUUGGGUGUGCAGAACCAAAUGGUCAUUGUUCCUAAUCUUAAGGAACUCACAAUAUAAUGGAGAAAAUAAAUAUAGAAGCAGAUAGUUAUAAUUUAGUGCAAAAGUGCUACUUUGAAGAUUCGUAUAUGACAUAAUAGUAGGGAAGAAAGCAACAGGAGAUGAGCAUGAGGAAAACCAGCUUCAGGCUGACAAGGCAAGAAAGAGGGCCAUUGUAAAACUCUUGGGUCAGGGACUCCCCAUCACCCACCAUGUAACUUCUUUGUCUGGUAUACAAGGCUCACCAUUCUGUAGUUGGCUUUCAAUUCCCAUUGGUGGUUCCCAGAACACGUCUUGUUAUUUUAUAUGUUCAUGUCCUUGUAUAUACUGUUUCUCCCACUUGAUAUUGUCCCUUCUUUCAUUCUGCCCUCCUAUCUACCAGAUAUCUAGAAUGUACCAUCUUAGGAUUUUGGAUUGACUUCAUUCUUCAUUCGAUGUCAGCUUAGUUAUGGAGCUGGUCUGGAACCUUCACUUGAACAGACAGUAGUAAAAAUUUUUUGUCCUCUGGCACUAUGACCUCUCAGAAAGAACUUUUCUGACCAUUCCAUUUAAAGUGGGUACCCUCUGCUACUAGCUCAGCUUCUUCUUUUUCCCCCAUAGGAGCCUAGCUAAUGUUUUAUUAUGAUUUAUCUCCUUCUCCACAUACCCCUACUACCCUCUGGUUGGUAGUCUUCAUGAUGGCAGGCAGAUAUCCUAUUGUGUACUCCUGCCACUCCAGCUCCUAGCACAGUGCUGGAUACCUAGACGUCAAUAAACAUAAGUUUAUUGUAAGUUAAUGCUCCUGUAUAAGACACACCCAUUAGUAACAUUUACCCUCAGGCCACAGUACACAUAUAAAUGUAGUAGUUUGUGAUUGGUGCAUAAUUUCCUGUGCACAAAUGUAACUCCACAUCUUUUUUCACUGAUAGAGCAGUUUGGUGUAUUGAGAUACCACAGCAACAAAUCAUUUAUAUUUAAUGUACAGUUUAUAAGGAACGGAGGGAGAGCAUAGUUCUUUAAGACCGAAUAUAUCAUUUGGGAAAGUGAAGAAUGUGACAGGCCUUGGAAAACAUGUCUGUUGAUAACUUCUUGUGGCUUACUGUUUGGAAUUUCUUGGUUAUCUGAAUUCUUCAUACAUUCUGCUUGCUCGGUCUCUCUCUCUCUCUCUCUCUCUCUCUCUCUUUCUCCUGGCAUGUGGCUCAUGGCUCAGUAGUGUAGGCAUCAUCUGAAAGCUUGUUAGAAAUGCAGACUUGGGCUCUGCCACAGUCCUGCUGAACCAGAAUCUGUAUUUUUCUUUUUUGCCACUUAUUUGCUUCUCUUUAUUAGGCCUCAGUUUCCACAUCUGUAAAAUCAGAAAGUUCCAAUAAUUCUUUUUAAAAUUUAUUUCAUUUUAUU